rnacentral:rRNA from 1 species
UACAGAGGGGGCAAGCGUUAUUCGGAAUUAUUGGGCGUAAAGGGCGCGUAGGCGGCCUGGCAAGUGGAAGGUGAAAUCCCUCGGCUUAACCGAGGAACUGCCCUCCAAACUGCUUGGCUUGAGUCCGGGAGAGGUGAGUGGAAUUCCUGGUGUAGCGGUGAAAUGCGUAGAUAUCAGGAGGAACACCUGUGGCGAAAGCGGCUCACUGGACCAUAACUGACGCUGAUGCACGAAAGCUAGGGGAGCAAACAGG